rnacentral:rRNA from 1 species
AGAGUUUGAUCCUGGCUCAGAGCGAACGCUGGCGGCAGGCUUAACACAUGCAAGUCGAACGCAUCCUUCGGGGUGAGUGGCAGACGGGUGAGUAACACGUGGGAACGUACCUUUUGGUUCGGAACAACUGAGGGAAACUUCAGCUAAUACCGGAUACGCCCUUAUGGGGAAAGAUUUAUCGCCGAAAGAUCGGCCCGCGUCUGAUUAGCUAGUUGGUGAGGUAAUGGCUCACCAAGGCGACGAUCAGUAGCUGGUCUGAGAGGAUGAUCAGCCACACUGGGACUGAGACACGGCCCAGACUCCUACGGGAGGCAGCAGUGGGGAAUAUUGGACAAUGGGCGCAAGCCUGAUCCAGCCAUGCCGCGUGAGUGAUGAAGGC